rnacentral:rRNA from 1 species
GACGAACGCUGGCGGCGUGCCUAAUACAUGCAAGUCGAGCGAAGUUUUUCUGGUGCUUGCUCUAGAAAAACUUAGCGGCGAACGGGUGAGUAACACGUAAAGAACCUGCCUCAUAGACUGGGACAACUAUUGGAAACGAUAGCUAAUACCGGAUAACAGUAUUUCUCGCAUGAGAGAUAUUUAAAAGUUGGUUAUGCUAACACUAUGAGAUGGCUUUGCGGUGCAUUAGCUAGUUGGUGGGGUAAAGGCCCACCAAGGCGACGAUGCAUAGCCGACCUGAGAGGGUGAUCGGCCACACUGGGACUGAGACACGGCCCAGACUCCUACGGGAGGCAGCAGUAGGGAAUCUUCCGCAAUGGGCGAAAGCCUGACGGAGCAACGCCGCGUGAGUGAAGAAGGAUUUCGGUUCGUAAAGCUCUGUUGUUAGGGAAGAAUGGAUAUGUAGUAACUAUACAUGUAAGAGACGGUACCUAACCAGAAAGCCACGGCUAACUACGUG